rnacentral:rRNA from 1 species
UACGAAGGGGGCUAGCGUUGUUCGGAUUUACUGGGCGUAAAGCGCAUGUAGGCGGACCUUUAAGUUGGGGGUGAAAUCCCGGGGCUCAACUUCGGAACUGCCUCUAAUACUGGAGGUCUCGAGAACGGAAGAGGUGAGUGGAAUUCCGAGUGUAGAGGUGAAAUUCGUAGAUAUUAGGAAGAACACCAGUGGCGAAGGCGGCUCACUGGUCCGGUUCUGACGAUGAGGUGCGAAAGCGUGGGGAGCAAACAGG